UACGGGGGGGGCAAGCGUUGUUCGGAUUUACUGGGCGUAAAGGGCGCGUAGGCGGUCAGCACAAGUCAGUUGUGAAAUCUCCGGGCUUAACUCGGAAAGGUCAACUGAUACUGUGCGACUAGAGUGCAGAAGGGGCAACUGGAAUUCUCGGUGUAGCGGUGAAAUGCGUAGAUAUCCUGAGGAACACCGGUGGCGAAAGCGGCGCGCUGGAUCCCUUCUGACGCUGAGGCGCGAAAGCCAGGGGAGCAAACGGG
rnacentral:rRNA from 1 species